rnacentral:rRNA from 1 species
UACGUAGGGGGCAAGCGUUGUCCGGAAUCAUUGGGCGUAAAGCGCGUGUAGGCGGCUCGGUAAGUCUGCUGUGAAAGUCCAGGGCUCAACCCUGGGAUGCCGGUGGAUACUGUCGAGCUCGAGUCCGGAAGAGGCGAGUGGAAUUCCUGGUGUAGCGGUGAAAUGCGCAGAUAUCAGGAGGAACACCAAUGGCGAAGGCAGCUCGCUGGGACGUGACUGACGCUGAGACGCGAAAGCCAGGGGAGCGAACGGG